rnacentral:rRNA from 1 species
UACGGGGGGGGCAAGCGUUGUUCGGAAUUACUGGGCGUAAAGGGCUCGUAGGCGGCCAACUAAGUCAGACGUGAAAUCCCUCGGCUUAACCGGGGAACUGCGUCUGGUACUGGAUGGCUUGAGUUCGGGAGAGGGAUGCGGAAUUCCAGGUGUAGCGGUGAAAUGCGUAGAUAUCUGGAGGAACACCGGUGGCGAAGGCGACAUCCUGGACCAACACUGACGCUGAGGAGCGAAAGCCAGGGGAGCAAACGGG